AAAAUCAAAGCAUUUAGAGCAAAUCUGACGAAGUUAAAUUGUUUAUCAUGUCAAGAUCUAUCUGCCCUGAAAUUUUCAAAUGAAUCCGACAACCGGUUGUUGGGUUGCUGUCCCUAAAUUGGUAAUUUUAAGGAAAUUUUGCCGUUUUUUGUUAUUAUCUUGAAUAUUAUUAUAGAUAGAGAUAAACUGUAAACAGCAAUAAUGUACAGCAAAGUAAGACCUUAAAAUAAGUCAACAUGACCAAAAUGGUCAACUACCCCCUAAGGAGUUACUGUCCUUUAUAGUCAAUUUUUAACAAUUUUCAAAUAAAAUUUGUAAAUUUUUACUAUUAUUUUCCACUGAAACUAAUGGGCCAAGAUCAUUAUAGAUAGAGAUAAUUGUAAGCAGCAAGAAUGUUCAGUAAAGUAAGAUCUACUAACACAUCACCAUCACCAAAACACAAUUUUGUCAUGAAUCCAUCUGUGUGUCCUUCGUUUAUGAUAUGCACAUAGACCAAGGUGAGCGACACAGGCUCUUUAGAGCCUCUAGUACUGAAACAAUAGCAUAAGAUCACGACAUAGAAAUGUGCAUUUCACGUUAAAGGUCAAUGGAGUUUCGUUGGAGAUUCAUAUGGCAAAGGUUUGCAAUCAGUAUGAACGGGGAGUUUAACACAAGCGUCACAUACACAUGCUGUGACUGAUUCUUAUGCGUAAAUACUUGUCUUGAACAUAAAAACUUUUAAAGACUGCAAAAUUAAAUCAAAGAAAAGUAUCAUAAACUUGCAAUGCAAGCAGUCAGUCAUUAGAUUUUAGAAUUAAUCUUUUAUCUUUCCAUUAAUGAAAAUAGAUGAUAACAUUAGGAUAAGUCUAAUUGGCAUAUUGGAUCAUCUUGAUUAUAAGUUUGUUACUAGACUUUCAUCUUCUUACGCCUAACAAGGUUUUUUUUCUCAAAAGCUGAGAAUUGAAAAGAGUUGACGAUUGAAUUUCGAAGAACAUAUAUAUAAUACAGCGAGCAUCAAAGUAAGACAGAACUAAGAUCUAGAUAUACAUAUUUAUUAAAGUAAUGAUAAAUAUAUCUCAGUUUUUUUUCGUUUCUAUGUAGAAAAUAAAUUAGAAUUGUAGUAAUUUCAUGAACAUCAAAAUGAUUAACUUAUGCAUGCACAUAGAUUUAGACAGAC
rnacentral:lncRNA from 1 species